ACCUGGAUGGCUCAGUGGGUUAAGCGUCUGACUUCAGCUCAGGUAACGAUCUUGAGGUUUGUGAGUUCAAGCCCCACAUCAGGCU
rnacentral:tRNA from 1 species